CAACCUGCCGUCUACUCUUGGAUAGCCUUCUGAAAGGAAGAUUAAUACAAGAUGGCAUCAUGAGUCCACAUGUUCACAUGAUUAAAGGUAUUCCGGUAGACGAUGGGGAUGCGUUCCAUUAGAUAGUAGGCGGGGUAACGGCCCACCUAGUCUUCGAUGGAUAGGGGUUCUGAGAGGAAGGUCCCCCACAUUGGAACUGAGAUACGGUCCAAACUCCUACGGGAGGCAGCAGUGAGGAAUAUUGGUCAAUGGGCGAGAGCCUGAACCAGCCAAGUAGCGUGAAGGAUGACUGCCCUAUGGGUUGUAAACUUCUUUUAUAAAGGAAUAAAGUCGGGUAUGGAUACCCGUUUGCAUGUACUUUAUGAAUAAGGAUCGGCUAACUCCGUGCCAGCAGCCGCGGUAAUACGGAGGAUCCGAGCGUUAUCCGGAUUUAUUGGGUUUAAAGGGAGCGUAGAUGGAUGUUUAAGUCAGUUGUGAAAGUUUGCGGCUCAACCGUAAAAUUGCAGUUGAUACUGGAUAUCUUGAGUGCAGUUGAGGCAGGCGGAAUUCGUGGUGUAGCGGUGAAAUGCUUAGAUAUCACGAAGAACUCCGAUUG
rnacentral:rRNA from 1 species